UCAAAGGACUUUUAUUGUGGACAUUCCUCUGCUACGUCAUUCACGGCGUGUUUGGGAGACUUUUAUUAUGUAAAUAUCAGCCGGGACUGUGAAGAAAAGCUUUGGCAAGUCAACUUACAAAUGUUAUUGGUAAAUGUGAGAGGCGCUGCGUGAUUUUUCCUCCUUCAAUAAAACUGUGAUGUGACCGAAGUAACUGUAACUGCCCAGAACUGACGUUCGCCGUCAACAUUAAGGGCUCAGAAUCAGUUUACAGGAGAACCUCCAUGCACAUGCAUAACAAUGGACUCUAAUGGAGCCGCGUAGAGAUGAAGUCUGUCUUUUACGCAGUGAAAUCCGAGCAAACGUAAUGGAGCCGCGUGAGAUGAAGUCUGCUUUUACGCAGUGAAAUCCGAGCAAAGACCAGGUAAGCGAAAAACAUUUUGCUUUUCAGGCAUAUUAUCUUACAACAAGAAAUGCAGCGUGGCACACUGGAAGCAGCCAGAAAACCACUGCUGGAGUGUUUUUGCAGAUGGACUGAUUGUUAUUCACUGUCUUCAGAAUCAGAUAAAUGAACUCCAGUGAAGCAUCAGCUCAGCCUCAUGUCGUUUCUGGACUGCACCUGUAUCUCCUCCCACUCACAAGUCCAGUCCAUCAGCAUAGAGGAGCAGUAUGAAGACGUCAGCCAUCAGUGCUCGAGCAGUGACGUCUCUCCGUGUUCUGUGUUGACGGAUGAAGAUGACAUCACAGAGCUUUCCACUGACCCCGCCCACUAUCAGCUGCUCUCACAACUGGGUAAUGACCGU
rnacentral:lncRNA from 1 species